rnacentral:rRNA from 1 species
UUACAUCUCUUUCGGUAGGCAUUUUACGUAGGUGCUGCAUGGUUGUCGUCAGCUCGUGCCGUGAGGUGUCGGGUUAAGUCCCAUAACGAGCGCAACCCCUACCUUAGUUGCCAUCAGGUUAAGCUGGGGACUCUAAAGGAACUGCCUACGCAAGUAGUGAGGAAGGCGGGGAUGACGUCAAAUCAGCACGGCCCUUACGUCCAGGGCUACACACGUGCUACAAUGGCCGAUACAGAGGGCAGCUACCUGGUGACAGGAUGCAAAUCUCCAAAGUCGGUCUCAGUUCGGAUCGGAGUCUGCAACCCGACUCCGUGAAGUUGGAUUCGCUAGUAAUCGCGCAUCAGCCAUGGCGCGGUGAAUACGUUCCCGGGCCUU